rnacentral:lncRNA from 13 species
UAUCCUGUUCCCCAGGAAGAGGCACUGCACAGCUGGAAACAGGAGUUUCCAAGGAGUCUACAUCCUAAAGUGAGUUGCCAACCCCUGGAGCCUGACAACCAACCUUCUGAAGUCCAAUGCAAUCAACUACAAUAAGUAUAGUGAAGGCUGAAGGAAGAAAACAGAGGAAGAAGCCAUGAUAGUGGUAGGUGCUUCCUACCUGGUUGGAAGGACGUCUGCCAGCAUCCAUCGUGCAUUCUCUCAGCUUAGCAAGCCCAGCGGAGGAGGAAGCUGCUUGCUGACAGCAUCUGAAGUUCAGCCGUCGUCUCCUUUUGACCAGGAGACCUAG